UUAGUGCAGCAACUCUUCAUGCAUUCCUCAAUGGAAAUGAGAACAAAUGUCCUGAGUCAACGCAUUUUAGGGUCGAUUCAUUUAAUGUCGAGGUUCUUUGCAAAAGCAAAUUAGUAGUAACUGAAAUUAAAAUUAUAUUUAAUUCAAAUGCUUCCAUUUGCGAACUCCGAGUAAACGGCGGAAGAGAUGUUAUAAAAGAAGCAAAUUUUGCCAUCAGCUUUGACAACCACAGUAAUAGCAUAAAUUACUUACAUGAAAAUAUCGAGGAAAAUUGUUUAAUUAUAAAAAAGCCUGGGAAGAAAAUAAGUUUGGAAUCAAAAUUUGAUUGGCCGCGUGAAGUCUAUCAGAUUGUAAUACAUACACAAGAAACUUCGAAUACAUCUCUGAAUGACAUUAAUGUCGAAAUGUUCAACGAUGAAAACACACUUGUGUUUUCCAGAGUUUUAGAUCACUUUGCAUUUAUACACGAAUUCAAUUUUUAUAAACCUGAUUUCAUCAUGAAAAUCGUUUUAAGCACAAGCAAUGUUUUAUCAAUGUGUGGAAUUCAGGCAUAUGGUGAAUGUACGAAAAGAAGGUAUGGCAUACACUGUGACCACAUAUGUAGUAUAACGUGUAGAUACCAAGACUGUCAGUUUACCGGAGUUUGUAAAGAAUGUAUGCCUAACAGAGUCGGUGAUUACUGCAUGGAUUAUGAAAAUAAAAGGUUCUAUUCAUUUCCCGUAAACAAAACGGAAAAUACUAUUUUCGACCAACAGCAAAAUUCUUCCAUGUCGUUUAAAGAGAAAAUAUUAAUUAUCGUAUUUGUAUCAGUACUUUUGAUCCUACUUUUUAUUAAUUACA